rnacentral:rRNA from 1 species
GUUGACGCUGGCGGCGUGCCUAACACAUGCAAGUCGAGCGAGUGGCGGACGGGUGAGUAAUGUCUGGGGAUCUGCCCGAUAGAGGGGGAUAACUACUGGCAACGGUGGCUAAUACCGCAUACUAUCGGCUGAACCCAUAUGGGAUUAGCUAGUAGGUGGGGUAAAGGCUCACCUAGGCGACGAUCCCUAGCUGGUCUGAGAGGAUGACCAGCAACACUGGAACUGAGACACGGUCCAGACUCCUACGGGAGGCAGCAGUGGGGAAUAUUGCACAAUGGGCGCAAGCCUGAUGCAGCCAUGCCGCGUGUAUGAAGAAGGCCUUAGGGUUGUAAAGUACUGUCAGCGGGGAGGCGUUACCCGCAGAAGAAGCACCGGCUAACUCCGUGCCAGCAGCCGCGGUAAUAC